GACGAGGGAUCCUAGCGUUGUUCGGAAUCAUUGGGCGUAAAGCGGAUGUAGGUGGCUUUGUAAGUCAGAUGUGAAAGCCCCGGGCUCAACUCGGGAAGUGCAUUUGAUACUGCGAAGCUUGAGUGCUAGAGAGGUUACUAGAAUACCUGGUGUAGUGGUGAAAUACGUAGAUAUCAGGUGGAAUACCGGCGGCGAAGGCGGGUAACCAGCUAGACGCUGACACUGAGAUCCGAAAGUGUGGGGAUCAAACAGG
rnacentral:rRNA from 1 species